UACGUAGGGGGCAAGCGUUGUCCGGAUUUACUGGGCGUAAAGAGCGCGUAGGCGGAAGCUUAAGUGUGGCCUGAAAGCCCCCGGCUCAACCGGGGAAGGUGGCUGCAAACUGGGCUUCUUGAGGGGGAUAGAGGAGAGUGGAAUUCCUGGUGUAGCGGUGAAAUGCGUAGAGAUCAGGAGGAACACCCGUGGCGAAGGCGGCUCUCUGGGUCCGCCCUGACGCUGAGGCGCGAAAGCUAGGGGAGCAAACGGG
rnacentral:rRNA from 1 species